AAUCACAAAUUAUGAAUCACAAAUAAAUUUUAUAUUUUUCCUGUAGUGACCCCUACCUUAACCAUCCAUAGCUUUUAUUGAUUUCAUUUGAAAACUUGACAGUACAAAUGAAGUAGAUUUUUUUGGUUGUAUUGCUGCUGCUGUUAAUCACCUGAUCUUUGUGAAUGUAUGCUACUAAAUGUUCCAUUGUAUCAUCAUAAUGUCGGGUAUCUGCACGUGCAGUGCACUUUUACGGCACUGAGAUGUUGUCCUCUGCAUAAUAUAGUACUAUAAAAGGAUGUGCAUUCUGUUGCGCCGCUUGUCAACCAGAUAUUCUGAGGAGAACAUUGGUUCCCAGACCCAGAGGAAAAUACCCUUUUUAUGUUGGAAAAUAUGGUUAAGCUUUUACUGCACACCUGCAUUCAGCUAUGUGCUCCACGGAGUAGAUGGGGCUAUCCUUAAGGACCUUCACACAAAAUACCAAUGCAAUACCUGUGAACUCUGAUAUCAACAGAAAGCUGAAUGUCCCUCCCUGGCUGCAUACUCCCUAGUGGCAUUCGUCUAUUUAUCCCUUUCAUAUUUGUAUUUGCACUCUCUGUGCAGGCUUAGCUGUUUGGAAUCUGGUUUUGUGGUAGCUACAAUAUUGUCCAUUUUAUUGUUAUUUAUCCUUUUUGAUGCU